GGUGGCUGGUUUUCUGCCCUGGAUACAACAGCUCAACCUCUACAGUAUAUCCGAGUGCCAUGAUGUCUCAAACGCAGAUUUAUCAGAUCCACAGCUUGAUCUAAGUUCAAGACAGUUCUGUCCAGUUGGAAGAUUGUUAACUGGAGUUCAAGUGGUUGUUCUGGAUCAAGACCUCAAUAUCAAAUCGGUUGGAGAACCAGGAGAGAUUUAUGUUGGUGGACCUGGCCUUGCCAUCGGUUACCUUAACAGGCCUGAU